GACGACAAGCGACGCCUGUUCCUGAGACGACAAGCGACGCCUGUUCCUGAGACGACAAGCGACGCCUGUUCCUGAGACGACAAGCGACGCCUGUUCCUGAGACGACAAGCGACGCCUGUUCCUGAGACGACAAGCGACGCCUGUUCCUGAGACGACAAGCGACGCCUGUUCCUAAGACGACAAGCGACGCCUGUUCCUAAGACGACAAGCGAUAGACACUCACCUGUACUGACCAGGAGACCUUUGAAUCUCUAAUGUAACGAGCGUAGAUGUUUUCUCUGUUAUCAAUCUACAUCUUUAUCACAGUUAAUAAGGGUGAUGUUUAACUCUUGACUGGAAAAAACAGUUGAGUUGGUCUAACUUUUUACAUCAGCAGGGCUAGUGUUGGCGAAGUUUAUGUUUUUGUUGCAAUUUCCUCGGCCACGUGCCAAUUCACAAUUACAACAACUGUUUUUAGAAGCGUUGUUUAUUUGGUGGGUCACUAGACGACGUGAACUAUUUGAGUCCGAAUGUCUAUAUUUGAGAAAUGAUAAAGGUCAGUAGUGUUAAAUUAAAUGUAAAAUAAAUAGUUUACAGUGACUGUGAUUUUUGGUUUUCUUACCCACCUUAGUUGAAUGCAUUGACUAAGUUGCUCUGGAUAACUCUUUGACAAAUUAGCAAUAGGUCAUUCCAGUCAAAUAUAGGUGAUUUCCAGUAUUGUGCUUGUGUUCCAGUCUGAUAUAGGUGAUUUCCAGUAUUGUGCUUGUGUUCCAGUCUGAUAUAGGUGAUUUCCAGUAUUGUGCUUGUGUUCCAGUCUGAUAUAGGUGAUUUCCAGUAUUGUGCUUGUGUUCCAGUCUGAUAUAGGUGAUUUCCAGUAUUGUGCUUGUGUUCCAGUCUGAUAUAGGUGAUUUCCAGUAUUGUGCUUGUGUUCCAGUCUGAUAUAGGUGAUUUCCAGUAUUGUGCUUGUGUUCCAGUCUGAUAUAGGUGAUUUCCAGUAUUGUGCUUGUGUUCCAGUCUGAUGAAGGUGAUUCCAGUGUUGUGGUUUGUGGAUGUGUUCCAGUAUAAUGGAUGUGUUCCAGUAUAAUGAAGGUGAUUCCAGUGUUGUGGUUUGUGGAUGU